rnacentral:rRNA from 1 species
CGCCUGUUUAACAAAAACAUUUCUAAUUGCUUCAAAAUUAGUAAAACCUGCACAAUGAUCACUUAAAUAGCCGCUAACGUGCUAAGGUAGCACAAUAAAUAGCCUAAUAAUUAUAGGAUGGUAUGAAAGGUUUAACAUGGAAUUUUCUUUAUUAUUAUAACUAAUCGAAAUUAUCACGAAAGUAAAAAGACUUUCAUUUGCUAAGAGGGACGACAAGACCCUGUCGAGCUUCACUUAUGUUUGGCUGGGGCGGCAAAAAACUAUAUCUUUAUUUUCAAAACACAUUACAAUCCUUUUUAUGAUAUAUUAAGCUACCGCAGGGAUAACAGCAUAAUUUUUUUUAAGAGACCUUAUCAAAAAAAAAGAUUGUGACCUCGAUGUUGAAUUAAACAUCUUCUUAAAGCAAAAAUUAAGAAUAGAAAGUCUGUUCGACUUUUAAAAAUUUACGUGAUCUGAGUUCAGACCGG